rnacentral:rRNA from 1 species
UUCGUAGGGCGCAAGCGUUAUCCGGAAUUAUUGGGCGUAAAGAGCUCGUAGGCGGUUUGUCGCGUCUGCCGUGAAAGUCCGGGGCUCAACUCCGGAUCUGCGGUGGGUACGGGCAGACUAGAGUGAUGUAGGGGAGACUGGAAUUCCUGGUGUAGCGGUGAAAUGCGCAGAUAUCAGGAGGAACACCGAUGGCGAAGGCAGAUCUCUGGGCCGUAACUGACGCUGAGGAGCGAAAGCAUGGGGAGCGAACAGG